AAAGCACACUCUUUGCUACUCCUUCUAUUCUGUGUGUGGUUUUGAAAACUUACACUAGUAAAAAUGCUGUAUCUGAAUGUAACUUCUUGCAGCACACCUUUCCAGACAGGGAAAAAAAAUGCCAAGAAAUUAACCAGGAGAUUUUGACAUGUGUCUUCUGAACAGCAAGCUAAUUCUCAGCUUCCACACUUUGUGCUAUUUGAAUUGCGCUUUGCAGUCACAUGCUUCAAGCUAAUUGCUCCCAUGCAAAGCCUGUAGGAAGCAGAAAAGCAAAGUUCCUGUGGCAUAGUGACUGUUCUGGAGAAUGCUGUCAGUGAAUUUUCCAUUGCUGGGCACAUAUAAUGAAUGAGAAAAAGUGCAGAGAGCUUUGAGGAAUGGAUGAGCAGUUCCUUCCCUGCACUCCAGAACAUGAUGACUUGCAGCAAAUAUUUUUCGUCUGCAAUGGAGGGCACUGACAUCUGUCAGAGGGAAUUUUCGAUGAAGGGGACUGACCACUCACAGCAGGCAGUGAGCAGAGAAGAGGCAGAUGCAGCUCCAUCCCUGUGAGGUGCAUCCACUGGCAGUGUACUGCAAGACUGUGAAGAUGAAGUGAGGCCUAAAAGCCCAAGACAAUUGGUCUUCACUCACUGUGGCCCAGGCAAGCCGUAAGGUUGGACACUCACAAGGGAAUUUGGAGAAGUAAUGAUUAUUCAACACCGAAGGUGCAUUUAGAAUGACUGUAAUCAAGGCGCAUGUCUCUUUUCCUUCAGAAAAAGAGAGACAAUGAGAAAGAAAGAGAGAAAGAAAUUAAAAAGAAGGAAACACUUGUUUGGAAAAAAACUUGCUGCUUUAAGAAUUUUCAAUUCAAAGUACUAAUCUAAUGAAGAAAAUUGUAAUUACUUGUACUGUUGCGAUUAUAACCCAAAUAACCGUAGAAUCAUUUACACUGUAAAAAACCAUAAAGAUCACAAAGAACAAUCAUCAACCUGACCAAGUUUGAUGGUGCUUUGUAUUAAUUAUUGGUACCUAUUCUCACAAGAGAAAGGUAUAUUUAUAUUUUCAUUGGUCAGGAUAAGUUUUUUUGUUUAUUAUAACUGCUUAAGAUUUACUAGAUACAUAGGGAGACGGUGAUUACUCUUUUGGUUCAACAACAAAAAAGAGCCAUUUUGUCCUAGGUAUUUUCCAUAAGCCAUUCUUGUAAUAUUUCAGAACAGAGUAAAACUUUCACAUCUUCAGAAAACUUGUGAGUCUCUCUUUACCUUCCCAUGAAGUGUUUUAGAGUGACAUACUGAGAGUUCCCACCUUAACAUUACCUAGUACAGAAAAUAUCAGUUGGACAACACUGAAUCAUAGAAUUACCAAGGAUAUAAAAGACCACCAAGAUCACCUCCAAAUUCAACUGUCCACCUACCACCACCAUUUCCACACUAAACCAUGUCCCUUGGUACUGUAUCUAAAUGUUUCUUCGACAUCUCCAGGUAUGGUGACUCAACCACCACCCUGUGCAGCUCAUUCCAGCAUCUGACCACUCUUUCAGAAAAGAGUGAAAGAGCUUUCCACAGUGAAAGCUUGCUUAUAAAAAAAAAACCAUCACAUUAAACAGAUCAUUAAUUAAUAAGAAUACACAUCACAGUGAACUUGUUUUAGUAGGUCACUAAAGGCUCUUAAAAAAAUUGAGGUAUGUUGGAAGAACGACAAAAAAUCCACUUGCAUAUUAGGAAACUGACAAAGUCUAUUUUCCCAUAAAAACCAAUGAAAGACCAGAAAACAAUAAUGCUAAGGCACAGCUGUUGCCUGGACUGCUUGCACAGCUUCCUGUCAGAAGCAAAGCAAACCAGUUAGCACAUUCUAGCCUUCUGUGUCUUAGAUGAGAGUGACAUUUCUUUUUGUAACUAGGUAGGAGAGGAAUUGAAAGCAACCAGUGAUGGGCUGAUUAUACUACUUUUACCAAAAGUGGAGAAAUUUAAAGAUAUAUGUAUGCUGAGUGUACUUUUAGAAAUGCUAUAUAUAUAAGUUGCAUUCAGAAUCUUCUGCAAGGCUAAAAGGAUGUUUAGAGUUACAAUUUAAAAACAGUGGGAUUUAGUGCAACAGGUUUUGGCAAAUGAAUCACUGCAGUUCCUACAGCUGAUGAAUUAAUGUAGACCCAACAGACUAACAUGUACCAUGUGUUUGCUCUGGCAGCAAAUAUGGAAAAAUCAUUUGGAGAAAAAUUAUAUUAUUCAACAGA